CAGCCGUCGCCGACCUCUCGCCCCUGCUGGCCUUCUCCAUACUGCUCAACAGCGUCCAGCCCGUGCUGUCAGGUGUCGCUGUUGGUGCCGGUUGGCAAGGCGUAGUCGCGUACGUCAACGUCACGUCGUACUACCUGAUCGGCAUUCCUCUUGGCGCAGUCCUAGGCUACGUGGUGGGGCUUCAUGUGAAGGUGAGGUGCUCUCAGAGCCUGGUAUAUAUACAUGUCCCAUGCAUGCAUGGUGUGUCUCUUAUUAUUAGUGCAUCCAGCUCGGCUCUAAUAAGUUGUCGAAAUGGACAUGUAUAUAUAUGGACAGGGCAUUUGGAUCGGAAUGCUGCUCGGAACGCUGGUCCAGACUAUCGUGCUUCUCUUCAUAACAGUAAAGACCGACUGGGACAAACAGGUUUGCUGCUUGCUCAGUGCGUGUGCGUUGUGCGUUGUGCUGUGGCUGAACAACUACAGUCUUAGCCGAGAACGGCAUUAAUGUGCUGAACUAUUAUGAACCCCCUCCCUCUCCCUAUCUGCAGGUGGUGGCCGCUCAAGAGAGGCUGAAGAAAUGGUACAUGGAAGAGAACAGAAGGAUGCAGGCCUCGAGGGGGAAUCCUUGAGCCGGUCCUUCAACCAACUUCAAGCCUGGCCUUUGUGGGUUGCUGAUUGACACAAUUUUAUGCUAAUAUUUCUACUAUUCAUCACCUCAACAUCAAAGUGAGCCCGGCAUUCCAGAUCGUGUGCUCCUCGAGCCAAGCAAUGGAAAGGCACUGUCACUGUCAGCAGCAGUAGGAUAACCAAAAAAAAACAUUGUGUUAUUUGCUAAGUGCGAGUUUGGCUCAAUUUUCGCUAAGUGAGAGAGAGCCUAUGUUGGCUAAGUGCGACUUUGGCUCAAUUUUGGGCGUAUGCUAAUAUGUUUCACAACAGGGCAGUGCUUGAGAUUUGGGAUAUCUGUAGCGCUAUAACUGACUCAAUUUUGGGCAUAUGCUAAUUUGCUAAGUGCGAACAAAUUCAUGCAGUUAUGGCCAUGCACUACUACACUUCGACAUGUGUGUGUAUAUACUCAGGUUCAUGAAAAUAGUGUGGUAGAUCGAUCGUGGGACUGAACCACAUAUUGAUCACAUCAAUUAGUAAUAAGGGACCUAGCGUCGUAUCGUAUCACAUUCUGCAACCAAACAUGAAAGGAACACAGAGAACACAACCAUAUUCACAGAGCACUACGCUAAUAACUGGAACAAAUUAUUUAGGUGCAAACUGUAUCGUCACCUUAAUCGAACUGGAGUGUCGACGACGAACAGGGCUACUGGAUGACAGGUAGUGUAGUUACGAAGCUGCAAUCACAACGUACAGGAAAAUAUUAGUAAGAAACUAAGAAUACAAGAUGAGGAAUGUUCGAAGUACUGAAUCGAACAGAUCACACCGAUAGCAUUUGAUACAUAUACAUCAAAGAAACACGAUUCGAAGGCAAAAAGGAAUCAAUGUCGCAGCCACAUAGCCGGACGUGGAAGGAUCCAUACCAAGUCAGAAGGGGGAACGAAUAGUACCAGAAGACGAUUCCGUGAAUAACAGCUAAUCGGCCGCGGCGAGAUGAACCACCGGGUACAGAAACAACACCCGCCAGUAAGGUAAGAGGGAAGGAUGGAAGCUUGGAGAGGGGGAAAACGCGAGAACCUGGUGGGGCGCGGCGACGACGGCCUAGCUGGAAGUGGCGGCGGUGAGCAGGCACGAAGGAUGAGAGCGGAACCCUAACGCGCGGGGGAGUGAGGCCACGGGUCUGCUCGGCCGAAUUUUUUUUUGUAUUUUAGCCCUUAAACAGAAGUAAAAUCACGUUUAGACCUAAAAAAAUUUUAAAUGCAGUUUUG
rnacentral:lncRNA from 1 species